UGGUGAAAAGCUUAUCUUUUGGAACAUUUCUUUGAAAUGGUUGAGAGAGAUCAGUGUCCACUGUGCCUGGGUGCAACAAAAUGCAGAUAAUUGGAUCCUUCUUACGCGCAAAUUCCACCGACACACUCUUUGUCACUGCAGCAUAAAGACAUGAUAAGCAUGGACCAAUUUCACUAAAGGAUAAACUGGACCACAAAAAAGAAGGAAAAAAACAAAGGCAGGACGCUGUAUCAGCAAUUAAAUCCUCUGUUACUGCAAAAUUUCCAGAAUUAUAUCUGAUACGAGCCAAAUGGCCAUCUUAGCUUUUGAUGACAUCUUUGAAGGCCACAUAGAGCCUCAAGACUUAGUCACCUCGAGGAUACAAGAACAUGCAUGGAGGACCCGUUUUGAGCAUACCAUUAAGCAAGGCCCUGUGUGGAAGAUUGCUUGGAGCAUUGAAGAGUUGAGGACUCAAGAUUUUGAACAACACUUAAUGGCUCACGGUUUUGGUGACCUUCAUUAAGGACAUUUUGGUCACUUCAUGUUGUCCAAAUACACACCAAGGCCGCCCUUUGGUCAUUAAGGCCAUUGUGGUCAUUUUUGUCUUGUCUUGUAAUAGAAUUUAAAUUAAAACAUGUUAGGAUUAUUUCACUUAGUUUUUGAAUGAUGAACAUGUGAAAGACCUCUCUCUCUUGAGUGUAACACCCUUAGUGUAGUUUUUAGGUUAGGGCUUGGAAUAGCCAUUUUAGUGUAGGGCUUGGAAAAGCCGAUAGUGUACGUUGCUUAGAAAUGGUGGUUGUGAAGGUGAGUUGAUUCCCUUAGCGGUCACUGAAAUAAGAUUGGUGUUUGAUUAUUGCGACUUUGAGGGUCUCUUCGUUUGAUAUACGUGUUGGUUCUCAUUGUUUCGUAAGAUCUUAGGUCAUCUUAACUAUCCAUUUAUCUUAUUGUAUUGUUGUGUUUGUAUCUUGUCUUGUUAAUCUCGGUUUGGUGUUGUUGUUGCCGUGAGUUGUUCCAUUUGUUUCUCUCGGUUUGUCUUGUGUUGUGGACUGAUUUUAACAUUUCGUAGAUCGUUCGUUAUCAUUUGGUAUCAGAGCAAAGAUUGAUUGCGUUCCUACGAAAUCAAUCUUGGUCUUGUUAACUUGAAAAUAAAUUAAAAAGUGUGUUGAAAACUGAAAAAUCCAAAAAGAAACAAAUCUGUCCCCUUUUGUUUUACCUUGGCCGAAACUUUGGUCUCGGAUUUCUUGUGUUUUUUUUGUUUCUAGUGUUUGGUUCUUGUUCCCUAACACUUAUAGAGUCUAGAUCUAAAUUUUGAGCUAAAUCCAAGUUGUUCUUGAAUUUUAGAAGAUUGUUGUUGUUGUGGACAUAAACUUAGCCGUGUGUUGUUGGCAUAGUUGUUGUGGAUUUGAGUUGGACAUGUGUUGUUGUUGUGGAUUGGAGGCCUAAAAACAUUGUGUUAAUGUUGUUGAAAAUUGGAGCUUGAAAAAUGUGUUGUUGAUGUGUAGAGUCCAACUUGAACCAUAGAACUUCAAGAUUCAAAAAGUUGUGUUCUUGGUGUUCUUCACCAUCUUCAUUGUUGAAAAUUGGAGCUUGAAAAAUGUGUUGUUGAUGUGUGGGGUCCAACUUGAACCAGAGAACUCCAAGAUUCAAAAAGUUGUGUUCUUGAUGUUCUUGUAGUUCUUCACCAUCUUCAUAUAUUGUUGAAGAAAAAAGUGGUUGUUGAUCUUAGAAGUUAAAGAAAGAGAGUGUUAAUUGUUGUUAGUCUUGAAAGACAUAGCUCCAAGUUUAAGGUAUAGUACUUGUGGCUCAAAGACUUUUCCUACACACUCAAAGACUUUACAACCACUUACCAACAACUUUCCGUGUUUUAAGGAAGAAGUACAAGACUUUCUUGUUGCAAGACUCUUAAAAUUUGAAAAAGAGCUCCAAGUCUUAUAAUUCUCUCCCUUAGCCGAAAUUCUAUCUUCCAAAUUAAAAUUUGACCAAUCCAAAUUGCAAGCUGCCACGUCAUCAACCUCCAAACAUCACCUUAGGCUCAAAAUUUCAAAUUCUUGGUUUCUUUUCUUGUUUCCUUAGUUUCGUGUAUUGAUUCUAGAACUAAUUAGUAACUAGUAAUCACCUACUUAGUUGUAGAUUAGUAGUUGAGUCCGUUUUUCUUUCGUGUCUUCGUUACUUGUGUGCUUUUCUCGUUUUGACUCGUCGAACUUUUUUGUUUCAAGUUCGUAAGUAGAUUUUCUGUUUUGUAUCUUGAGUCGAUCAAACAAGAAUCUAUUCCGACUGCUAAGUAGGAUUGACAUCUUAUUGACUACCAGAGUAUAAAAAACUUUCAAUAUUCGUCGCUCCAAUUGUGAGGAUCACAAAGGUGAGAGCAUACGAGUGUUGGUGAGGAGCUUUUACUACUUAUCUUGUUUGUUCAUUUUGUAGGUACAAGAAGGUAUAAUGGGAAUGUCUUCGAUAGCCGCGGAUUAUUGUGACUACAACAUGGGAGACUAUGAUUGUAGUGAGGGAUUUAUGGCUACGAGGUUGUUGGAGAUUACAGGGGGCUAUGAAAAUAGCCAAGAUCAAGGCACGGGCAGAUUUGAAAGUUACUGUUUUGAGGGAGAAAGUGAGAUGAAUGAAGUGCCUAGCGCUUAUAGUGAGUAUAGAGAUGAUGUAGGGCCUUGUGAUGGUUCUUAUGAUGAAAAUACGAUGUAUGGGGAGUCUUGCACUACCCAAGCGGAACCUAGAAUUGGAGUUAGGUAUAACCCGUUCAUUUGCAAAGUUUAUGAGAGUUAUGGUGAGAAUGAACAUGUGGAGUGUGAAAAUUCAUAUUCUUCACCUUGUAGUACUUCUUAUCAAGGUCAAAGUGGUGCGAAUGGUUAUACUAGCUAUAGUGGAGGUUUUCCCAUGAGAAGAAGACAUGCAUCUCCAAAGCCGAAGGGUACUCAUGUGCCUUACAAUGUUGAUCCAAGAAAGAGUGUUCACUCCGAAAAGGUGAUCAUUUGUGGGAUACUAAGCUGCCUCAUUGUGCUAAAUGAUGGUGCUAUAGAAACUACAUCUUUCCAUCCAUGGUUGACUAUGUGGGGUUGAUUCGAGAACCUUUACUUGUUCCAUACUGCUUGGACGGGUUUAAGGUUACCGAGAGGGUGAAGGUUGUCUUCUCCCAAUUUGAUUAACAUGGGUGUGGUGCGAUAUUUUUCCCUUGACAUAUGGUCGUGUGAGCUUGGGUGCCGAUUGGUUUGCACAACAUAAUAUUCCAAAUGUGCAAAAUUGGCCUAACGUUGUAAAAGACCGAUGGGGAAAUCAUCUCAUGACGUAAAUUAUGCCCAAGCCGAAACGAGAAGUGUUCACCUACUCCAAUCCGAAUGAUUAUGAGAGACAAAAGACUGAGAGGAGUAAGGGUGUGCAAGGUGGUAAUCCGAGAGAGGAAAAGGGAGGGGAUUGCCACCAAACCGUGCUAACAUUUUUUGUCCUUCUCUUUCUAAGGACAUUUGUGUAGGUACCAACAUGGCAGAGAAGGAGAGCAAGGCCGAAGAGAAGUUGCCCAAGCUUGUGGAGGACCUUCACACCAAGGUGGGGAAGAACAUACUCAAGAACUUCAAGAUAAAAUAGCUAACUCUUACACUUUUGUGCAUGUGAAUGAUAAUUGUGUGGCUAGUAGCCCAUUGAGUGUGAGUAGUAGCUUACUUACUUGUGAGUCUAAUGAUUCUUUGCCUCUUGAUGAUGAGGUACAUGUUGUGAGUGUGGAUACACUAGUUGAUCUUAUUGAUGACCAACUUGACUCUUCUUGUAAGAUCAAUUUAUGUCCACCUAGUAUUGAAGCCAAUAUAUUGAAUGAAAGUACAUCGUCUUGCGUAAAUGGUGUUGAUCAACUUAUGUGUGAAAAUUGUCCACCACUUAAGGAUGUGUAUGAUGUGAUUAAUGAAUCUCAAGUGAGUGAAGAAAUUGAAAAGGUUGGUCAAGGAAAUAGGAGUGAACCCGUGAGCUUGUCUUUUGAUUCUAAUGCUUGCUUAGCUCAUAAGGAUAAUCAUGUGCUUGAAACCUCUUUGAAACUUGAUAAUUACCUUUUAGCGAAUGAAGAACUUGCUUGUUCCAAAUCUGCCCGCGGGAUAGAUCAUGCUCUCUUUAGAUAUAAUGUCUUGUUUGAAGAUGAUAUAAACACUCUUAGUGAACCUAGUGGUGAAAAUGAUGGAAUAGCUUGCCUUGAAGCUAUAUACUAACCCAUUAUAGUGUGACAACAUUCCUCCUAAAGAUGGAAAUCUCUUUUUGAAGAUGAGAGUACUCUUAAGGGUAAGGAAUGUGUAGUCCUUCUUGAAAACCCGAGGGCAAAGGUGUCAUUGACUCCUUGGGGUAACGUUUAUAAAUGUGCAUCCUUGCUUGACACACUUGUACUUAAAUUACAUGAAUCCCAACUUAUGGAUGUCAAGUUGUCUAUUUGUUUGAAAGGAAGAAUGUGUAUGUGCUUAAAUGCUUUGUCUUCAUCCGUGUAUGCUUUUACACUUGAUUCCUUCCUACACUACCUCUUUGCCUAUGAUGACAUCCAUACUAGUUUUGGAUUUGUUGUAUGUAGAGGUAGGAAAUUUGUUGGUAUGUCCACUUGUGUAAGUGAUAAUGUUAUAUGGAUCUUGUGGACUUUAGAACCAAUUGAAGCACCAACCUUGGUGUGGUCUCUUGAAGAGAUAAAAAGGCAAUUGUGUCUUACGGCUCAUAAGAUCCUAAUUCUACCUUUUGGAUCGAGUGAUGCCAUUAGGACCCUUGUAGCUUCUUUAUCUCUUGGUGAUUCCUGUGAACAAAUCCUUUGUGCAUCUUUCAUUGAGUUCUUAAUAUUCAAUUCAAAGGAUCCUUGGUUAUAUUUCAAGUAUGUGCAACCUUGGCAUGAUGAAUUGAUUGUUUAUGCUAAUCCUAACCCCCAUGCCAUGAGGAUGUUAUGCUUGUUUGUCUUUUCUUUAGUUUUGCAAGGUGUGGAUUCGAGGUCGAAUCCUUUUCAAGAAGGAGAGGAUGAUACGAGCCAAAUGACCAUCUUAGCUUUUGAUGACAUCUUUGGAGGCCAACACAGACUCAAAAACUUGGUCACCUCGAGGAUACAAGUACAUACAUGGAGGACCCGUUUUGAGCAUACCAUUAAGCAAGGCCGUGUGUGGAAGAUUGCUUGGAGUAUUAAAGACUUGAGGACUCGCGGUUUUGGACAACACUUAAUGGCUCACGGUUUUGGUCACCUUCAUUAAGGGCAUUUUGGUCACUUCAUGUUGUCCAAAUACACACCAAGGCUGCCCCCUUGAUCAUUAAGGGCAUUGAGGUCAUUUUUGUCUUGUCUUGUAAUAGAAUAUAAAUAGAACAUGUUAGGGUUAUUUUACUUAGUUUUUGAAUGCUGAACAUGUGAAAGACUUCUCUCUCUCUUGAGAGUGUAACACCCUUAGGGGUCAUUUGGUAGAGUGUAUUGAAAAACUAAUGCAUGCACUAGUUUAAUGGGUAUUACUAAUACCUUGUUUGGUAUACUUUUGCACCCUGUGUAUAACUAAUAUUUGCAUUAGUUAUACACUCUAUUAUGUAUUAAGGUGUGUAUUACUAUUACCUCAAAAUUCAUGAUAUUAGCAAUGCAAUGGAUCCAAUACAUGCAUUAACAUGAUUAAAGAUAUUAUCCCUAAAAAAAUUCACAUUCUUUCCAACAUAUAUAUGGAGGAUAUUUUUGUAAAAAAAAAAAAGAUUUUAAAAAAAAUUAUUUAAUUCAUAUUAUUUUUAAUACAUCAAACCAAACACUGCAUAAGAAAAAUACAAGCAUAACUAAUGCAAGCAUAGCUAACACAAGCAUUACUAACACACCAUAUUUUGCAUUAUUCUUAUACACUCUACCAAACAACCCCUUAGUGUAGUUCUUAGGUUAGGGCUUGGAAUAGCCAUUUUAGUGUAGGACUUGGAAAAGCUGAUAUUGUACGUUGCUUAGAACCGGUGGUUGUGAAGAUGAGUUGAUUACCUUAACGGUCACCGUAAGAAGAUUGGUGUUUGAUUAUUGCGACUUUGAGGGUCUCUUCGUUUGAUAUACGUGUUGGUUCUCAUUGUUCCGUAAGAUCUUAUAUCAUCUUAACUAUCCAUUUAUCUUAUUGUAUUGUUGUGUUUGUAUCUUGUCUUGUUAAUCUCGGUUUGGUGUUGUUGCUGCCGUGAGUUGUUCCAUUAGUUGCUCUCGGUUUGUCUUGUGUUGUGGACUGAUUUUAGCACUUCGUAGAUCAUUCGUUAUCAAUAUCUCAAUGGUAUUCUCAGACUUCAUGAAGUACCAAUUGAUCUUCACACAAAAUAAGUUCACUUCUCUAUGAUAUAAGGUGAUAGAGAGCAAGUCAUUUGUUUACAUGGAUAAGGUUCGCAAUCUGCUGCCAUAUUGACUAUAAGGUUUAGUCCCACAUGAGGAUUCAUAUCAUAAUUCCAGUAAAGACCAUUCAGGUACGCAACAGCCCAACUUCAGGAUCGUCGUUAUUGACUUUAAAUCACUACAUCACUACUGCAUAUAUGUAUCUGACUUACAGGGUUCUGGAGCAACAUAAAUCAAUUUUUAAUCGAUAAACGGUUAACUAGAGUGGUUCCUUAGUUAUGACAGCUCCCCAAACUUGGAAGAAGGGCAGUCAACCACCAAACCACUCCGUUUUAAUGGAUAAUAUUAUGGUUGGUGGAAGACAAUGAUGCAUGAUCUCAUAAUGGUUGAAGAUAGUGAACUAUGGGCUAUCACCUGUGAUGGUCCACAUGUUUCAAUGAGAGAAGUUGAGGAAUGUAAGAUUACCAGACUAGUUCCCAAAACUCGACGGGAAUAAAAUGAAGAUGAUCGCAAAAAGAUUGAAAAAAGUUUCAAGGCUAAGAAACUUCUGGUAUGUGGAAUAGGUCCUGGUGAAUACAAUCGUAUUUCAGCAUGUGAAAGUGCAAAGGAAAUUUGGGACUGCUUAAGAACUGCUCAUGAAGGGACUAGUCAGGUCAAAGAGUCCAAAGUGGAUAUGCUCACUACCCAAUAUGAAGCCUUCACUAUGAAAGAAAGUGAAAUCAUUCAAGAGAUGCACACCACGUUCACCUCAAUCACCAAUGCGUUACAUUGUCUUGGUGAAGUUAUUCCUCCUAGAAAGCAAGCAAGGAAGAUAUUGGGUGUCUUGACCGAGUCAUGGGAAAGUAAAGUCAAUGCCACCUCUGAGACAAAAGAUCUCAAAACACUCACUAUGGACGAGUUAUUUGGAAAUCUGAAGACCAGUGAGCUGAAGAACCAACAAGAUCAAGAGAAGAAAGAGCCUAAAAAGGAGAAAUCCUUGGCAUUAAAGGCCUUAAAAUCAGUUUCAAGUGAGGAUGAUAAAGAUGUUACUUAGCUCGAAAAUUUAUCAGGGUUAUAAAGAAAAGUAGUAGAUUUCAAAAGAAACAAAGCAGCAGCAAACCUGCAGGUGGAAAUGAUUGUUUGUCACAAUGUGGUAAACUAGGUCACUUUAUCAAGGAUUGCCCCUUACACAAGAUGGAUUGUUAAGAAUACAUGAAGUCUGGAGGAGACAAAGGGGAGAAGAAGGACCAGAUCCCUAACAAGUCCAAGAGGAAAGCUACGGCAGAUUAUGUAGUUAAGCAAGCCUUAGCUGCCUGGGGAGACUCACCAAGUGAAUUUAGUGAGUCAGAACAACCUGAAGAUGCUUCCAUGCUAGCUGUAGAAGACAAUGAAACAAUAUAUAACUCUCUCUUUGCUCUCAUGGCAAAAUCUGAUGAUGGGGUAACUCUUCUUGACAUUAAGCAAAAUCUGAAUGACUAUUCUCUUAAAAAGUUAAAAAAGCUUGUAAAUGUUUUGAUUGAUUCUCUAUGUGAGCUCACCAUUGAGAAAGAUUUUCUUGAAGAGAAGGUAGGAAAUCUUGAGUCAGAAAAUUGCUAUAACUAUUUAAAUCUUUGAGCUAGGAGAACACUCUCAAAAACUGGACUUGGUUGCAUAAGAAAAGAUCUCAACAAGUCUCUAAAUUGGUUAUUUGAAAGAAGAAGUCUAGGCUAAACAACCAACUGGGUUUGAAGAUAUUGAUUAAGCAAAUCAUGUCCUGCAACUGGAUAAGACUUUAUGGAUUGAAACAGGCCCCUAGAGCAUGGUACGAAAGACUGUCAAACUUUCUUUCUUUCUUGAGAAUGAUUUUAAGAGAGGAAAAACUGACAAUACUCUAUUUCUGAAAUCUAGAGGAAAAUGCCUACUGAUUGUGCAAGUUUAUACUGAUUAUCAUCUUAGGUGCAACUUCAGACUCUUUAUGUGAAGAAUUUGCAAAACUCAUGAAAAGUUUGAAAUGAGCACGAUGGGUGAACUGAGCGUCUUUCUUGGGUUGCAGAUCAAGCAAACAUCACAGGGCACCAUGAUUUGUCAAGAGAAAUACAUCAAAGAACUGUUGAAGUAAUUUAACAUGAAUCAUGCCAAGCCCAAUGAUACUCCAAGCCCAUUGAUACUCCUACAGAGGCUUGUCCAAAAGAGUCUCACUUGAAGGCGGCUAAAAGAAUUCUCAGAUAUCUGAAGUGAAGAGGGGAACUGGUCAUGCUCUAUCCUUCACGUGAAAACUUUGAUCUCACUAGGUAUGCUGAUGUUGAUUAUGCAGGGUACCUGGUAGAUAGGAAAAGUACCUCUGAAAUGAAUUAUUUUCUUGGUUCAUCUUUGAUCUCAUGGGGAUCUAAAAAGCAAAAUUCAGUUGCCCUCUCUAUUGCUGAAGCUGAAUAUGUAGCAGCUGCUUCAUAUUGUGCUCAAUUAUUUUGGAUUAAGCAACAGCUGAAAGAUUUUGGGAUAGUGACGGAUAUCAUUCCAUUGACGUAUGACAAGACAAGUGCUCUGAAUAUGGCAACAAAUCCUGUGCAGCACAAGAAGAAUAAACAUAUUGAUGUGAGACACAGUUCACUAGAGAAAAUGUGGAGAAGGGAGUAAUUUGCAUAAAAUUUUGCAAAACUGAAGACCAAGUAGCUGAUAUUUUUAUAAAGGCUCUUCACAUGAAGCAAUUUGUGACAUACAGGCUGAAAUUGAAGCACAUCAUUUUUCAGGUGACGAAGAUGUCCGAAGCUUGGAGAUGGAGUACGAUGAUUCCAUUAUAUAAGAACAAAAGGGACAUUCAAAGUUGCAACAACUACAGGGGUAUCAAGUUGUUGAGUCAUACUAUGAAGGUUUGUGAAAGACUGGUAGAGUUGAGGAUCGUGACUAUUCCUGAAAAUCAGUUCGGUUUCAUGUCAGGUCAAGGGAAGGAUGAAAAAGUGUUGGUAGAGGAUGCCCACAUUAGGAGGCGUUAGCAAUCCUAUUUCCAUAAACUUUUGAACGAUGAGAGGGACAAAGGUUUUGUGUUGGAGGACUUAGAGCAUUCAGAGAGGUGUCGCGAUUACGGUUAUUGUAGGCGUAUCAAGGUUGAGGAGAUCAAGGGUGCUAUUCGUAGUGAUACGAGUCAAGGAGGCAUCUUAGCUUUUGAGGACAUGAGUAGAAGCCAAUACGUAAAGACUCGAGCUUGGAGGGCUGCCCAACCAAGAGAACAAGCUUUGAAGUGUGAACGAAGCCUUCUAACACACCAAAGUUGUCCAAGGGCGACACUCUAAAGCCGCCCCUUUGCGAUGGGCUCAUUAAGGACCUUUUGGUCAUUUUGUGUAAUAAGUUUAGUCUAGACUAUAAAUAGAACCUUUUAGGUCAUGUGUCCAUAACUUUGAUGAUAUAUUUUGAGAAUACUCUUCAGAGUGUCUUUGCAAAUGUGGAUUCACUUGUGACAAGUGUGGAAUCACUUGUGUUGGUUACUAGUUUAGAAACGGUGGUUGCCUGGGAAUUUCGCUUCCCUUGAGGACUAGUUUAGAAACGGUGGUUGCCUGGGAAUUUCGCUUCCCUUGAAGUCUCCGUAAGAACUUGGUGUUACUUACUUGUAUGAAUCUUUGGGUCUUAAUGUUUGAUACACAUUUUGGUUCUUAGUAUUUGUGCAUUUGUAUGUCAUGUUAUCUAUUUAUCUUUAUAUAUUGUUGUAUUUGUAUCUUACUCUCGGCUUUGUGUUAAAACCGUGGGGUUAUUGUUCACCUUGUUAUAACUUGUUAGUCUGGUUGUUCACUGAAAUUUAGUGUUUCCAUAGUUGAUUUGUAUCAUUUGGUAUCAGAUUCAUGCUUGAUUUUGUUCCAACAAAAUCACUCUUAGGAUUGUUACUUAGAAAAUCUCACAAAAAAUAGUUGUUCUUGUUGUUCUGUCUUGGCCGAAAGUUUAAACUUAGAUCUAGGAGUCUUUUGUGUGUUUUGAUUGUUUCUAGUGUUAGGUUCUUCUUCACUAACACUAUUUGCGUCUAGAUCUAAACAUGUAUUGUUGAUGUUCGGGGCCCAACGUGAACCUUAGAACUCUAAGUUUCAAGAGUUGUGUUUUUGAUGUUCUUAGUGUUCUUCACCAUCUUCAUAACUUGUUGAAGAAAAGGUGGUGGUUUGAUCUUAAAACAAGGAGGAAAAAAGUGUAGUCUUGUGUUUGUCUUGAAAACAUUCCCCAAAAAUAUACCAAGGAAGUAAAGGGACAAAAAAACUUUCAAAAAGACUUGUUACCAAAAAGGAGAAAGAGCACUUUCCAAGACUAACGAAAGAGAAAAGAACCAACAACCCUUCAAGGGUGUCUUACCAAAAAGGUGCUAGCUAAGACAAGUCAAACCUUUUUGAAUGUGAAAAAGGCUCCAAAACUUCUUGUUGUUCCCUUCAAAGCUGAUUCUUCACUCAUCCAACUUGAAAAUUGAUCAAUACAAAUUGGAACAAGAAAUUUUUCGAAAAAUUUCAACCAACCAAAGGCUGCCACGUCAUCCUUUUUACUGUUCAUGCAACAAUUUUAGGCUCAAAAUUUAGAUUCUAAGUUUCAUUUUCUUGUUCCUUAGUUUCACUUAUUGAUUCUAAUACUAAUUGACAAGCUAGUACUCAUCUACUAGAUUGGAAGUUAGUUUUUAAGUUUGUUGUUCGUGUUUGAGUUUCGUUGUGUGCUUUUAUUGUUUUUGUAACUCAUUGUAGUUUCCUGACUCAAGUCCGUACAUAUUUUCUUUGAGUCGUUUCAAAAGAGAAUCCAUUCCGACCUCGAGCCACAAUUGGAACCAAGUAACCUCAUUGGAGUAUAAACGGGAUACCAACACUUGUGAGGCCAAUUGAGUGAUACUUCAAAGGUGUGAGCUUGAGAGUUGUGAGGCUGAUUUUUGCUAACCUUAACUUGUUGUUUGUGUUUUGUUUAGCAUUUCUUUGUUAGGUACCAUAGCUUCGGGUGAAGGUAGUCCAAGAACUUCGGAAGAGGUAAACAUGGAUACUUUGUUGGUAGCCAUAAUGGGUGUUGGUGGCCGAAUGGACAGAAUGGAGGGAAGGAUGAAAGGGAUGGAAGGUUCUUUCUCAAGGAGAAUGGAUACCUUAGAAGUUCGUCUAGAUUUAAACCAUUCAAGUCCUGAAAACUACCAUGCCUCAUCUAGUGGACAUGCUACCAACGUCUCCCCUACUAUAACUCCGAAUACACUUCACCAAAUGUCCAAUCCACCUAGACAAGUCCAUGAACCCAUCAACCAAGUCCCUACUUAACCAAACAACCGAAACCAAGUCCACCAAGAAGCUCCCCAAAACCGAGAACCCCUUGAAAUGCCGAAAGCACCACCAAACCGAAACCAACCAAUCCAAACUGAUGAUGUGGAAGGUGAGGAUCCUUACAGAGGUGAGAAGUUAGAUAAAGUGGCUCUCUUUGCGAAAUUUGUGAGAAAUAGGAGAGGAGCUCAUGGCGGAGGGCAUAAGGGCCGAGGAGGAAGGUUUGGUCCGGCUCCUCAUGGUAGAGGCAACUUGGGACACCGUCCUCAUGUUCAAGAAGGUCUAGGGGAUCAAGGAGGACAUGUGGGUAGAGACACGGGUCUCAACUCCAUCAAGAUCACUCUUCCUACUUUCAAAGGAACUAGUGAUCCAUCUAUCUAGCUUGAUUGGGAGCUACAAUUCAAUUGGAUUUUCUAACUGAAUGAGUUUAACUCCCCACAAAAAAGCCACACAUGCCAUUGCUCAACUUGAAGGAUAUGCAUCUGCACUUGGUGGGAGACAAAAAGAUUGCAAAGGGCAAGAAAUGGCAAUCUUGACCUUCCGGAUUGGGAUGAAUUGAAAGCACUUAUGAGAGAGUGAUAUGUCACGAAAAGGAGAAGUUAGAGAAUACUGGAGAAGUGGUCAAAACUUAUACCACUAGGAGCAUAGAAAAGAAAUUACUGAGUGAUGCCAUGAAAGCCAACAAGUCUGCUACUACUAAAAAAAGAAAUGAAGAAAUCCACAGUUAUUGAGGGGGAUAUUGAUGUGGUUGAUGUGGAAGAAUAUGUUGAGGAAGAGAACAUGGAUUUUGAUGUUGUUGUUGCAACCACCAAAAAAAGAAAGGAAGCAGAGGUAACCAGACAGACCAGGUCCUCAGGGACAAAGGCCAAGACCCCUGCUCCUAAGAAACACCUCUCAGUAAAAAGAAAAGUGUCUGAGGGACCUGGUCUUGCACAAGCAAGUCGGUCAGCAGGAGGAUAACAACAACAACAACAAACCCAGUGUAUUCCCACCUAGUGGGGUCUGGGGGGGGGUAAGAUGUACGCAGUCCAUACCUCUACCUCUGAUGAAGUAGAAAGAAGAAAGAUUUAAUAGGAUGUGAAAGAAAAGAAAGAUUGAUUUUUUGAAAUCUCAAAAGUGUUAUUAGGAGAAAUUCUUGAAAUUCUUGAUAUCCCUAUUAAUGGGAUCAAUUGAUGGGAUCAGGUCUGUGAAGAACCCAGCAGCCCUCAGUUGAGUUCAUGCAAACAACCUCAAAGGUUGGAGGAACCUCUACUGCUGGAGUAAGGAAGAACUUUUUGAAGGGGCAAUUUUAAUUGUUGUUUGAGUUUGCGAACAAGGUUUUACUGCCCAAAUCUGAGAAAAGGAUAGUGGCAUCUGAAGUAGACCUAGUCUUUGAGUAAGUUUGAGUUGAUCAACCUACCAACUCUUAUGAUUGAACACAUGCAUAAGAUUAUACAUGUCAAAGAUGAAAGAUAUGGAAUGCCCUAUGGGUACUUCCUGAACAAAGUGUUCAAUCAUUUCAAAAUUGUGUAUGAAAAAGGUGUGUCUGGAACAAUGAAACGAAUGUUCACAUUGAAUACCUUAAUUGAGAAUUGAGUGUGUGGAGGUAAGUGAGAACAAGUCCUAGGUUUCUGAGCUAAUUGAAGUGCAGGAGAAGUUGAAUGAGGAAGUCGAGGAGUUAAGGGUGGCUUUAGAACUAAGGAGGCUGAGAUAUCACAUCUCAAAGUAAAGAUACAUCAGUUGUUUUCGGAGGGACAUGGUGCCUCAGAUGAGUUGAAGGAGGAAAAUGCAGAGUUGAAAGCCCAAAUCGCUGCUUUAACUGGAGAUGUCAAGGGACUUACUGAUGAGGUUAAAGACCUUACAAAGCAGCUCCUCAAUGCUCAUGCUGCUCAAAAGUGCCAGAAUGGAUAUGCUCCUUAGAUCUCUUGGCCCCAAGCCCCCUCCAUCUUAACACUCCCACCCCCCCUCUUGUGAUGUUCCCAAGUCCUUCCUGUGUGAGCCUCUCUUCUUGUUUCUAUGCUGUUAUGAUCAGUUCUUUAUAUUUUUUUUAAUGAUGGCUAUGUAUGGUACUUGUCCAAAUUGAUGUGAAUGGAAUUUUUUUUAUGUCUAUCAUUUUUCUCUCUUAAUGAAUUGUUCAUUCUUAUUAGUGUUACCCUAGAGACCAUGAAUUAACUUGAUUGAGUUUAUUGAUUAUCUUGAUAUACUGUUUUUACUUUUUUAUGAUGCCAAAACGGGAAAGAUUGCUAUCACUGAAGUAGUCUGGUUCGGGGACCUGGUCCUUGUGUGACUGAAGGAUAGUAAUUGGCGAAAGGGGGAAGCUAGUUGAUAGAAGUGCACAUUGAUAGGGGGAAUGCAAAGUUCUUAAAACAUGGUUUGUCAUCAUCAAAAAAGGGGAAAUUGUUGUAUUUAACUUCGAUGAUGACUUCCAGUAUAUUUAGGGACCAGGUCCGUCGAAUAUUGACUUCAUGAGGAAUGCUAUGGGACAGCUGUGCACUGCUGCACACUGUACUAAUUUGUCUGGUAGUACGAUUACUGUGGAGGUGCGCAACGUACAACACGGGACACCUGGUCCAAUAGAAUGCUUAUUCGAUUGGUCCCUCAUCAUAUAAAAGCAAAGAUGUGACAAAUUGUCACAAAAGAAAUUUUCCCAGAAACACAAAGUUGCUCUCGCUAUCAAGAAAUAGAAAGUUACUCGUUAUUAAGGACCUGAUAGUUUCCAUAUUUUAUUUCUUGAGUCUUUGGGUGUUGUUCAAAAAUAGUGGUUUACUCUUGUAAUUGUGAAUAACAAUCCUUCCUGAAUAUGCUCAGUGUUGGCUUAAGUAAAGUUACCUAGCAUCAAUCGACUAGAGCUAGUUGGUUGGUGGAGGUGUGGCAGAGUUGUCGCAUUUGAUUGUAAUAGAGGUAUUACAAGUGAUAGGAUUUAGAGUUAAAUCCUUCUUGAGUGUGCGUGAGUCCGUAAUCGCUUGGUUGCUUGAUUAUAGUGAAGUUUGGAGAAAUCCCGUGAGGACAGGUAGUGAUUUUUUCCUCCCUUGAGCAAGGAGGUUUCCACGUAAAAUCUUGUGCUGUUUGUUUCUGCAAAUUUCGUUUUAGUUUGUUUAUUGGAAAAAUCUUGUGUUGUUUGUUUCUGCAAAUUUCAUUUUAGUUUGUUUAUUUCAGUUAUAGGCUCGAGCAAUGGAGAAUGAGUUAGACUUGAGACUUGAUUUUACAUGAUAUUAGAGUCGGACCCAUUCAAAUCUUUGUGCACCGAUGUUGGGCCCCAUAUUAUAUUGUCCAAACUCCAGUUAACAAGGUCUGGCAUGCGGGGGAGUGUUAAGAAUCUCACAUCGAAAAAGGGAUGGGUAAUUGGUCUCCUUAUAUGGACGUAGGCAAUCCUCCCCCAUGAGCUAGAUUUUGAGGUUAAGUUAGGCUCAAGCUCCAUUCUUUACAAUUAGCACCUUUUUAGUCUAUCAACAAUUUACACAUGCAAAAUUUAAUCAGAAAGGAGAUUAUCUUCAACAGCUAUUAGUUAUGUUUUCCUAUUUCCCUGUAGGCAGUUAUUAGUAGUAACGAUGCACUUAUUAGCAAUAAGGAUAACUUAUCUAUUAAUUAUAUUUUCCUAUUCUUGUAGCAGUUAUUAGUAGUAAGAACAUUAUUCCUCCACUUUCUCAUUCAGUAGGAGGAAGUAAUUACCUUGUUAUUAGAUGGGUGGUUAAUCCAUCAAUCUUGUAUUUAAAGUUAUUUCAAUUCAACGGAAAGGUAGGCAGAAAAUUAUCCAGUUUUUGAGUCCUUUAACUCAAGAAUUGCAGGUUCUCUUAAUGAACCAGCACCGUAGGUCAAAAAAAGUAAACCUCUUUUCGGACUCCUAAUUCAGUCUACAUUAACUCUGAUUUUUUCUAGCAACAUCCCAUAACUAGAUCCAUAACAGGGGACCGUAACAACUUGGUAUCAGAGCCGGGAUUUAUGGAGAACAGAUUCGAUUGAUAUCAACUGACAAAAUUGGUGAACUUAUCCCUAGAAGAACGUGCAACCAAUUUUUUUUGAAACUAGUAUCUAAGAAUGUGCAACCAAUGAGCCAGACAAGAAGCAAUAAAUGCUCGCUUGGAUGUCCUCUCAGGGGAUUUAGCAAAUCCGAAAGUCAAUUUUGAAUCAUUUGAAAAUACCCGUCAAGAUCGAGGUUGGAAAGGUAAAACUAGAGUGUGGCAGGAGGGUCAGGAUCUGAAGCAGGAAGCAAUUCCAUCAUUCCUCGACAUACUAAGUUGGAUUUCCCACGAUUUAAUGGUCAUGAGGACCCUUUGGGAUGGUUGACCAAAUGCAAACACUUUUUCAACACUAACAAACUCCAAAAGAAGAAAAGGUUGUUGCUUCUUUUCAUUUGGAGGGGAAUGCACAACUUUGGUUUCUUCAACUAGAGAUAGAAAUGCUUCAACCGACGUGGGAUGAAUUCAAACGCCAUUGUAACCACUCAGAAGUCAAAAGUUGGAUAAUUGGCUAAGUUACGCCAAAUUGGGUCUAUGGCAAAUUACCGAGAAAAGUUUGAACAGAUAAUUUCGCGGGCUAGAACACCCACACAGUCACAAAAAAUUGAACUUUAUAUUAGCGGUCUUGUUGAUAAUCUAGCAAUUGAGGUAAAGUUGCAUAAUCCUCUAGAUUUGGCCACAGUGAUGAGUUUAUCAUGGCUUUAUUAACAAAAGGAACAACCCAUUUGUUCACAACUGUAAGAUGCCUACAGAUCAAAGACAACAGAUUUCUCACCUCAAUAACAUCUCAAAUACCAAAUCAGAAAUGGAGGAAAGACGACUUGUGGGACUAUUUUAAUUGUGACAAACUAUUCACUUGGGGCCAUCAGCGCAAGAAAUUACUUUGGAUUUAGUUCAUUGACGAUGAAGAAGAAUUUGCUGAAAGAGCGAGAAAUACUACUACUUUCCACACUUGGCACUUGAGGACAAGCGUGAUUUGAAGGAGGAGAGAAAUGUUAGCACCCUUUUAGUCUAUCAACAGUUUAGGCAUGGAAAAUUUAAUAAGAAGUAGAUUAUCUUCCGCAGCUGUUAAUUAUGUUUUCCUAUUUCUCUGUAGCCAGUCAUUAGUAGUAAGGAUAACUUAUCUAUUAAUUAUGUUUCCUAUUUCAUUGUAGCAAUUAUUACCAAUGAGGAGGUUAUUCCUCCACUUUCUCAUUUCAGUAGUAGUAGGAAGUUACUUCCUUGUUAUUAGGUGGGUGGUUAAUCCAUCAAUGUUGUAUUUGAAGUUAUUUGAAUUUAAUGAAAUGGUAGGUAGAAAAUUAUCCAGUUUUUUAGUACUUAAAUUCAAGAGAAUGCAGGUUCUCUCUAAGCGAACCAAAAAAGAAAACCUCUUUCCAAACUCCUAGUUCAGUAUAUAUUGACUCUGAUUUUGUCUUGCAACGUCCCAUAACUUGAUCCAUAAUAGGAGACCAUAAAACACAUACAUGCCUACCUCAUAUGAUGAUGCAUACUAAGCUUACACACCAAGUAUCUACUUUGGUCCUACUCAAAAUGAACCCUUUAGACUUCAAGGUUUGUCUCCAAACCUCCAAUCUAGUGUUACUACCCGAGUCCCAUUAAUUAGUACUAUAUUAUGCUAGGUGGAGAGGGGAGGGCAGAGGUGGGUGUGGAUUCAAGGCUAGGUGUUCGGGCUGGUUCGAUGAGGGGUGGGAGAGGGAGGCAAGAGGCGAGAGGUGAUAGGUUGAGGGUAGGGUCUUGGAAUAUUGGGACCCUUCAGGUAAGUCCGUUGAGUUGGUGAAGAUUCUCAAGAAGAGGAGGAUUAAUAUUUCGUGUGUGCUGGAGACUAAGUGGGUAGGGUCUAAGGCUAGGGAUGUGGAUGGGUACAAGCUGUGGUACUCAAGUAGUGACAGGCGUCGAAAUGGAGUGGACAUCUUAGUGGAUGAGGAGCUUAGAGGGCAGGUGGUGGAGGUUAAGAGGAUCAGUGAUAGGCUAGGCUGAUGACGGUAAAGUUGGUCGUUGGGGGGUUUACACUGCAUGUGAGUAGUGUUUAUGCGCCCCAGAGCUUGGAUGAGGAGGUGAAGGCGAGAUUUUGGAAGGCUUUGGACGAGGUAGUGAGAAGCGUGCCUAGCUCGGAGAAGAUUGUUAUAGUGGGGGACUUCAAUGGGCACAUUGGGACGUGUCCGGGAGGUUAUGAUGAUGUGCACCGAGGUUUUGGUUUCGGCGAUAGAAGUGGUGAGGAUGCUUCCCUGUUGGACUUUGCGAGGGCUUUUGGGCUGGUGGUUGUGAACUCGAGCUUUCUGAAGAAGGAGGAUCAUCUGAUUACCUUCCGAAGCGCUUUAGCCAAGACUCUGAUAGACUUUCUGCUGCUUAGGAAGGGGGAUAAAGUUCUAUGUAAAGACUAUAAAGUCAUUCCGAGUGAGCAUCUUUCGACUCAGCACAGGCUUCUGGUGAUGGACUUGUUUAUCAAGAAGAGCAGGAAGAGUAGGGUCGAAGAGGGUCAACCUAGAAUCAAGUGGGGUGGUUUGACGCCAGUCAGUGCGCUGAAGAUAGGGGUGAGGGUGGCGGGAAUGGGGGCAUGGGAGUGUAGGGGGGAUAUGGAUGGUAUGUGGGAUAAGACUGUCAGCUGCAUCAAGGAGACGGCUAGAGAGGUGUUGGGUGUCUCGAGGGGUCGGGCAGGUUGACAUAAGGGGGACUGGUGGUGGAAUGAAGAAGUUAAGAAGAAAGUGGAGACUAAGAAGGAGGCAUAUGUUAAGAUGAUCGAGAGUAAAGAUGAAGAGGAAAAGCGGGAACAGGAAGGCUUACAAAGUGACAAGGAAAGAGGCUAAGUUAGCUGUUACGGCUGCUAAGAUAGCAGCUUUUGAGAGCUUGUACGCAGGGUUAGAGGAGAAAGGCGGGGAAAAAAGGUUGCAUAGGCUUGCUAAGGCUAGGGAGGGAGGGGUCGGGACCUCGAUCAAGUGAAGUGCAUUAAGGGCGAGGACGGAAGAGUUUUGGUGGAGGAUGUUCACAUCAAGAAGAGAUGGCAAGAAUAUUUUCAUAGACUUUUAAACGAGGAGGGAGACAGAGGCAUUGUGCUAGGGGAGCUAGAGCGCUCGGAGGAGAGCCAUGAUUUCAGCUACUGUAGACGUUUUAAGUUUGAGGAGGUCAGAGAGGUAAUUCGUAGGAUGCGAAGGGAUAGGACGACGGGGCCGGACGAGAUUCCGGUGGAUUUUUGAAAGUAUGCUGGUGAGGCGGGUUUAAGGUGGUUGACAGAUUUGUUUAACAUCAUUUUCAAGACUGCGAGAAUGCCUGAGGCGUGGAGAUGGAGUACGAAGAUUCUGUUAUAUAAAAACAAGGGCGAUGUUCAGAGUUGCAACAACUAUAGGGGUAUUAAGUUGUUGAGUCCUAUGAAGAUUUGGGAGAGGGUGGUCGAGCGGAGAUUGAGGAAACUAGUGUCCAUUUCGGAGAAUCAGUUUGGUUUUAUGCCUGGUCGCUCAACGACAGAGGCAAUCCAUCUGGUGAGGAGAUUGGUAGAGCAGUAUGGUGAAAGGAAGAGGGAUUUGCACAUGGUGUUCAUCGACUAGAAGAAGGCGUAUGACAAAGUCCCUAGGGAGGUUCUUUGGAGAUGCUUAGAGGUGAGAGGUGUUCCGGUGGCGUACAUCAGAACUAUUAAGAACAUGUAUGAUGGAGGGAAGACUCGGGUGAGGACGGCGGGAGGUGACUCAGGGCAUUUUUCGAUCGAGACAAGUUUGCAUCAGGGUUCGACUCUGAGCCCUUUCCAUUUUGCGGUGGUGAUGGACGUGUAGACGCGGAGUAUUCAGGGUGAGGUGCCUUGGUGUAUGUUAUUUGCGAACGAUAUAGUGCUGAUUAAUGAGACGCAGGGGGUGUGAAUGAGAAAUUGGAGGUUUGGAGGCAAACCCUGAAAUCUAAGGGGUUCAGGUUGAGUAGGUCCAAGACGGAGUAUUUGGAUUGCAAGUUUAGUGACUCGAGUCAAGAGGAUGAAGUGAUGGUGAGGUUAGAUUCCCAGGUUGUUUGUAAGAGGGAUAAUUUUAAGUAUCUUGGGUCUAUUAUCCAGGGGAAUGGUGAGAUUGAUGAGGAUGUCUCUAAACGUAUUGGAGCAGGGUGGAUGAAAUGGAAGCUCGCGUCGGGAGUGUUGUGUAAUAAGAAGGUUCCCCUUAAGCUUAAAGGAAAAUUCUACAGAGUGGUAGUCCAUCCGGCCAUGCUGUAUGGAGCGGAGUAUUGGUCAGUCAAGAACUCCCACAUCCAAAGACUGAAGGUAGCAGAAAUGAGAAUAUUGCGAUGGAUGUGUGGACUUACUAGAGGGGAUAGAGUUAGGAAUAUGACUAUUCGAGAGAAGGUGGGAGUGACUUCGGUGGAGGAUAAGAUGCGAGAAGGAAGGUUGAGAUGGUUUGGGCAUGUGAUGAGAAGGGGCACGGAUGCCCCAGUUAGGAUGUGUGAGAGGCUAGCCUUAGAUGGCUUUAGAAGGAGUAGAGGUAGGCCAAAGAAAUACUGGAGGGAGGUGAUUAGACAUGACAUGGAGCAGCUGCAGCUCACUGAGGACAUGACCCUAGACAGGAAGGUGUGGAGGUCGCGGAUUAGGGUAGAAGGUUAGGGCGAGUGUAUGAAUUGUGGCUAGGUGUUAGGAGAGUGAGUGCGUAUCCGGGCAGUAAUCCCAGACCUGUGUCCUUAAGUAGGAGCCUUUAGCCAGGUGAGUUCGGGUGGGGUGGGUAGGUGGGUGUCCUAGUUCUUAUUUCUUAUUUCUUAUUUCGUACUUCACUGAUAUUUAUUUCUAUUAUUUCUUAUGUCCGAAUGCCAACCUUUCCUGUUACAUGUUCCAAUACGAUCUUGGUGUAUUAUUCAAGAUUCUGAGCCGGGG
rnacentral:lncRNA from 1 species